CCUACGGGUUGCAGCAGUGGGGAAUUUUGGACAAUGGGGGAAACCCUGAUCCAGCCAUCCCGCGUGUAUGAUGAAGGCCUUCGGGUUGUAAAGUACUUUUGGCAGAGAAGAAAAGGUAUCCCCUAAUACGGGAUACUGCUGACGGUAUCUGCAGAAUAAGCACCGGCUAACUACGUGCCAGCAGCCGCGGUAAUACGUAGGGUGCAAGCGUUAAUCGGAAUUACUGGGCGUAAAGCGUGUGUAGGCGGUUCGGAAAGAAAGAUGUGAAAUCCCAGGGCCCAACCUUGGAACUGCAUUUUUAACUGCCGAGCUAGAGUAUGUCAGAGGGGGGUAGAAUUCCACGUGUAGCAGUGAAAUGCGUAGAUAUGUGGAGGAAUACCGAUGGCGAAGGCAGCCCCCUGGGAUAAUACUGACGCUCAGACACGAAAGCGUGGGGAGCAAACAGGAUUAGAUACCCUAGUAGUC
rnacentral:rRNA from 1 species